CCUAGAGGGGGACAACAGUUGGAAACGACUGCUAAUACCGCAUACGAUCUAAUCUCGGCAUCGAGGAUAGAUGAAAGGUGGCCUCUACAUGUAAGCUAUCACUGAAGGAGGGGAUUGCGUCUGAUUAGCUAGUUGGAGGGGUAACGGCCCACCAAGGCGAUGAUCAGUAGCCGGUCUGAGAGGAUGAACGGCCACAUUGGGACUGAGACACGGCCCAG
rnacentral:rRNA from 1 species